UGUCUUGGGGCUCAAACCUAAAGAACCUAAAUAUCUAAACGGAGAAAUUCAAUACUACCAAAUAAAGUAGUGUGCACUUUUCUCUUAGUAAGACACCGUGAUCCAUUAGAAAUUGAUACAUAUAAAAUGUAUAUUGGGUUAUCAAUAGGCCAAUAUGAAGUUUAUUGGAACAAAUGAUAUAAUCAUAUACGGUUAUGUGUAUUGUCUGAUAAGCAUAUUGUGUUAUCCUGUAAUAACUGUCUGAUGGAUUUUAAAGGUAAUAUCAAUGAUGUUUUUUAUAGCAUCAUUAUUUCUAUUGAUAAAUGGAAAAUAAAUAUGAUAUUUGCCUGAUCAACGGUGGUUAAAUUUGGGAUACCUUUUGGACCCGUCUUGAAACACGGACCAAGGAGUCUAUCUAGUGUGCGAGUAAAUGGAUAAUUUAUGAAAUCUAUUUGCAUAAUAAACUUGACUGUUAUUUUUAAUAAUGGGAAUACGAGAAUAUAUAUGUAUAUGUAUAUUCUCUUCCAUCCCGGGGUAUUUUUAUCAACAUAUGCUUGUCAUAUGAAAAAUAUACCAUGAGCAUACUGGAUACGACCCGAAAGAUGGUGAACUAUGCCUGAUCAGGUCGAAGUCAGGGGAAACCCUGAUGGAGGACCGAAGCAGUUCUGACGUGCAAAUCGAUUGUCAGAAUUGGGCAUAGGGGCGAAAGACCAAUCGAACCAUC
rnacentral:rRNA from 1 species